GACGAACGCUGGCGGCGUGCUUAACACAUGCAAGUCGAACGGAGCGAAUGAAAGCUUGCUUUUAUAAGCUUAGUGGCAAACGGGUGAGUAACACGUAGACAACCUGCCGACAGGAUGGGGACAACAUUCCGAAAGGAAUGCUAAUACCGAAUGAAGUCGAGGGAAGGCAUCUUCCUUCGAUGAAAGAUGGCCUCUAUAUAUAAGCUAUCACCUGUUGAUGGGUCUGCGUCUGAUUAGCUGGUAGGUGAGGUAACGGCUCACCUAGGCGACGAUCAGUAGCCGGUCUGAGAGGAUGAACGGCCACAUUGGGACUGAGACACGGCCCAGACUCCUACGGGAGGCAGCAGUGGGGAAUCUUCCGCAAUGGGCGCAAGCCUGACGGAGCAACGCCGCGUGAGUGAAGAAGGUCUUCGGAUCGUAAAGCUCUGUUGAUGGGGACGAACGUGCCUAAUGCGAAUAGUUUUAGG
rnacentral:rRNA from 1 species